rnacentral:rRNA from 1 species
GAUGAACGCUGGCGGCGUGCCUAAUACAUGCCAGUCGAGCGAACAGACGAGGAGCUUGCUCCUUUGACGUUAGCGGCGGACGGGUGAGUAACACGUGGAUAACCUACCUAUAAGACUGGGAUAACUUCGGGAAACCGGAGCUAAUACCGGAUAAUAUAUUGAACCGCAUGGUUCAAUAGUGAAAGACGGUUUUGCUGUCACUUAUAGAUGGAUCCGCGCCGCAUUAGCUAGUUGGUAAGGUAACGGCUUACCAAGGCAACGAUGCGUAGCCGACCUGAGAGGGUGAUCGGCCACACUGGAACUGAGACACGGUCCAGACUCCUACGGGAGGCAGCAGUAGGGAAUCUUCCGCAAUGGGCGAAAGCCUGACGGAGCAACGCCGCGUGAGUGAUGAAGGUCUUCGGAUCGUAAAACUCUGUUAUUAGGGAAGAACAAAUGUGUAAGUAACUAUGCACGUCUUGACGGUACCUAAUCAGAAAGCCACGGCUAACUACGUG